rnacentral:tRNA from 1 species
UGGCCCCAUCGUCUAGUGGCUCAGGACGCCGGCCUCUCACGUCGGUAACGGGGAUUCGAAUUCCCCUGGGGCUAG